AGUGGGGAAUAUUGGACAAUGGGCGAAAGCCUGAUCCAGCCAUGCCGCGUGUGUGAAGAAGGUCUUCGGAUUGUAAAGCACUUUAAGUUGGGAGGAAGGGCAGUAAGCUAAUACCUUGCUGUUUUGACGUUACCGACAGAAUAAGCACCGGCUAACUCUGUGCCAGCAGCCGCGGUAAUACAGAGGGUGCAAGCGUUAAUCGGAAUUACUGGGCGUAAAGCGCGCGUAGGUGGUUUGUUAAGUUGGAUGUGAAAGCCCCGGGCUCAACCUGGGAACUGCAUCCAAAACUGGCAAGCUAGAGUACGGUAGAGGGUGGUGGAAUUUCCUGUGUAGCGGUGAAAUGCGUAGAUAUAGGAAGGAACACCAGUGGCGAAGGCGACCACCUGGACUGAUACUGACACUGAGGUGCGAAAGCGUGGGGAGCAAA
rnacentral:rRNA from 1 species